GACGAACGCUGGCGGCGUGCUUAACACAUGCAAGUCGAACGGGAGUACUUUGAAAGCUUGCUGAUAAGUACUUUAGUGGCGGACGGGUGAGUAACGCGUGAGGAGCUGUCUUAUGCAGGGGGACAACAGUUGGAAACGGCUGCUAAUACCCCAUAAGCCGAGAGGUAAAAGGAGCAAUCCGGCAGAGGAGGUACUCGCGUCCUAUCAGCUAGUAGGUUGGGUAACGGCCGACCUAGGCGAAGACGGGUAGCCGGCCUGAGAGGGCGAACGGCCACACUGGAACUGAGAUACGGUCCAGACUCCUACGGGAGGCAGCAGUGGGGAAUAUUGGGCAAUGGGGGGAACCCUGACCCAGCGACGCCGCGUGGGUGAAGAAAUCCUUCGGGAUGUAAAGCCCUGUUGUAUGGGAAGAGCAGAAGACGGUACCAUACGAGGAAGCCCGGCAAACUACGUGCCAGCAGCCGCGGUAAGAGUCACGUCG
rnacentral:rRNA from 1 species